rnacentral:lncRNA from 1 species
AAAAUUAGGAAUAAGAAAUAAUGUAUUUUGCAUGCAUUAUAUGUACAAACUUAUACAUUAUAUCUUUUCCAAAUAAAAAAUUAAGAGUCCUAUAGUGAAUCUCAUCUUUUUUUGCUCUAACGAAAAUUUCAAAAAUAACCAAAAAUCGAAAACGAGAAGAUCAAAUUAGAAAAAUGUAAAUAUUUCUGACCAAAAUUCUUUGUGUCGUUGUUGCAAAGAAUCCGAACCGCUCAGGUAAUUAGUGGAGAAUCCGAUUCUGUCCCGA